UUAAGAAAAGAAAACAGUGCAACCUGACAGCUUCCCAUUAACGUUCCAAUUGUUUAACCAGCAGCUGCCUCUUCCUUGCGGGGACUUUGAACUGCGUGUCUUGAUUUCCCAUCCACCUGUCCACGUUCUCUGUGGAGCCCACACGGAAUCUUUCCCUAUAUAUCUCUCUGGCCUCCCCCUUUCUCUUCAUUCUCCUCUUCAAUAAUCAAACAUCUCUUGUUCUUGUUCACCCCUCUCUCUCUCUGUUUCUUGAUUGAUAUCUUUGAUUUCAAGAUUUACAAUGGCUUCUGCUUCAUUCAAGUCCUUGGCUGUUGUUUUCAUGGUGGCAGUUAUUGCUGCUGCAGCUUCUGUUUCAGCUCAAGAUUUGGCACCAGCACCAGCUCCAGCUAUGGAUAAAGGAGCUGCUUAUUCUCUGGGAAUGCCCGUAGCUGUGAUUUGCUCUUCUCUCUUGUUGUCCAUGCUUUCUCUCUUCAAGCACUAAAGAUCUCCUUUUUUGUUUUUUUUACAAGAUCCGAGAUGGGUUCUUAUUGUUUAUACAUAUUAUUACAUCUGUAUUAUUUUGGAGAGACAUAUUUUGAUGGAUUGAGCUGAGAGUUAUUGUUAUUUGAUUCAUUGGAUUUACUUACAGAUUGGAAUAAAGGAUUGAUUUUUAUAUAAAGAUUCAAUUUUUCCCAUCUUAAUUACAUGGGUUUUUCUCUUUCUUUCUCCUUUUCUUUUAGAAUUAUUUUUUGGAUGAGUUCUGAAUGCGUUGCUUUGAGCAAAUAUGUAAACGGAGGCUUUUGUUUAAUUGUUAAACAAGGAAGGGCUUUGACGACAAAGGUUAAGGGUAAAAUUGGAAAGACAAUUCGGCCUCCUACAGGUAAAUUUGUCAGUAAAAGUUAAACUAAUCAUAAAUUAAUUUUAUUUUUAACAAAAUUGUCAAUUAUUUGAAAUUUAAAAAAUUUAAUUGUUAUAUUAAUUUUAAAUAAGGACAACCUAAUAAAUUUUACUAAAUUUGAAAGACUUAAUUGUAAAUUACCCUUCCAAUUUCAACUCAAUUUUAACUUGAGAAAUUAAAUUUUUUAAGCUAAUUUUAUUUAUUUCUUGAUUGAAAAUAAAUAUCAAUAGACUUAAAUUCUC
rnacentral:lncRNA from 1 species